UACAGAGGGUGCGAGCGUUGUUCGGAGUUAUUGGGCGUAAAGCGCUUGUAGGCGGCUUGUUAAGUUCCGUGUGAAAUCCCCAGGCUUAACCUGGGAAGUGCGCGGAAAACUGGCGAGCUUGAGUGCCGGAGAGGGUCGCGGAAUUCCCGGUGUAGAGGUGAAAUUCGUAGAUAUCGGGAGGAACACCAGUGGCGAAGGCGGCGACCUGGACGGACACUGACGCUGAGACGCGAAAGCGUGGGGAGCAAACAGG
rnacentral:rRNA from 1 species